rnacentral:lncRNA from 1 species
ACAUUGGUUACACUGGUACAUUACAUUGUCAAAACAAUGCUCUUUUAAUGGUCAAUAUCGUGACAAUAACCACUAAAGAAAUCAUUCUUUAUUCUUCUAUAAGACUCUGUAAGAACAUUUAAAUUACCUUUAAGCAUGUAUUAUGGGUAGGGGGCAUUUGUAUUACAGUACCUACGAGGAGAUCACAGGAUAUCUUAUGGCAGUCAGUGUUCUCCUUAACCACAUGGAUCCUGAGAAACAAAUCAGUGUCCACAGCCAUGGUAACAAGAACCUCUGCCUACUGAGCUAGCUAUCCUGCUGACCAUACGCGCUUGACUAUUCUUAAAGCCCUGAAGUGAUGUACAAGAUAUCAAUGAACUGCUCGAUUUCCAAAUGAAGAUAUCACCUGCUCUCUGCAUACGUAAAAGGUCUUAUGAUUGUUUUUUGAGCUUUUUUAAUUUGUUCAUGUGACAAGGUUUCAUAUUCUUUUUUAUGUUAAUAUUGGCUAUUUGUAUUCUUUUCUUGCUAAAACCCUGUUAGAAUUCACAGUCAAAAACUAAUCCAUUUUAAUGCACUGCUCUUUUUAGUUUGCUAAUAUUUUGGUCAGUACACUUCUAUCUGUAUUCAUGACUGUAGCUCAUUUGUGAUUUUAAUUUUUUUCUGCAAUUUUGCCAUAUUUUACAAAAACUUCAACCAUUGAAUAGAAUUGUUUCUUCUAAUUAUUCUCAUCAUUUUCUGAUGGGAUUUGUGUAGAAUUGCUAUUUUUUGUUCUUAAGUACUUAGACAACUUUCCGGAUGGAUUCAGUUGAAAUAGUGUAUCUUUAUCAAAAAAAUAAAUUUAUUUACUCUUAAAGCAGAUAUGAAAUAUAUGUAUUUUGAAACUUUUUACAUUAUAUUUUUAAAUAGUUCAUUUUACUUUAAUUAUUAAAGAUAUUUAUAUAAAGUCAUUGAAUAUAUUUUUAUUUUUGCUCAUAAUUAACACUGAUAAUGAUAUGCUUCUUUUUGUGUUUUAUAUUUAUUAGCAUGUUAUAUUUCAUUUAUUUGAUCAGUGUUGUGGGUAAAUCAUUUAUUAUUCAAAAACAAAAAAGAAUUUUGUGAUUUAAAAAAUAUUUAUUUAUUUAUUUAUUUAUUUAUUUAUUUAUUUAUUAUAUGUAAGUACACUGUAGAGUGUAUUCAGACACUCCAGAAGAGAUCAUUAGAUUUUGUUAUGGAUGGUUGUGAGCCACCAUGUGGUUGCUGGGAUUGGAACUCAAGACCUUUGGAAGAGCAGUCGGCUCUCUUAACCACUGAGCCGGCUCACCAGCCCCAACUUUGUGCAUUUUUGAAUGAAUAUAUAAUGCAUGGGCUUUGUAUUUCACUUAUUAAUGACCUUUACUUUUUAGCUUCAUCUAUUUGUAUGAGUAUUCAGUAUGCUGUUUUUUCUGCUAGCAAAAUUCUUGGGAUGAAAGCUUAGACUUUGAUUAUCAACCUCAUUUUUCUCUAGUAUGAGAAUUUAAAACACUCUAAGGAACAUAACCUUAUUUUCAAUGCAAAAGUAUUUGUCUGUCCAGUGGCACUUUAUGCAUAGUCCAUGUAAGCUUCCCUUACUUUUCUGCUAGUUAUUGUAGAGAGAAUUGCUUAGUUUUCAGAAGUUGCAGAUUUUUAGCUAUUUGUCCUCUUAUUUUCUAAUUUAAAGCAGUAGUAGUUAGUAGCUUAGUCUCUAUUGUUAUUUGUAAUCUGUUACAAUUAAUUUUUGGUGUGGGUUCAUUGUACAUCUAAAGAUACUAUGCAUUCAAUCCUGAUUAUAUGCCAAAGUAUGCCAGUGGAUCAUUAGUGCUGUUGUUUAGAUCUUGCGUAUUAUUAUAGUUUUAUCAUGUUUUAUUCUAUCACCCCUAAAAAUAAUUAGUUGAAUUUUUUGUUAUAUCUUUGGAAUUGCUUAUCUUUCAUUGUUACCUUUUAUCUAGCAUUUAUCUGUAUCAUCUAUCUAUAUACUAUUGCUAAUCAUUCACCUGUGUAUCUAUUUAUUAUAUAUCUAUAUUUGCUAUUUAUACAUUCUCUCUAUAUAUACUAUAUAUAUUCUAUUUGCUAUUGAUUUAUUCCUCUACUAUCUAUCACUAUAGCAUAGAUGUGACAUUAUUGGAUAAAUAUAAUCUUUUAACUCU